rnacentral:lncRNA from 1 species
CUCCCAGUGAUCAAUUCGCGAGGUUAACAAAUUUGGCGAUAGGAGACGAGCCAAAUAUAACUACUGAAUUAUCUAGGUUAUCUGCUGGGACGUUAUAUUGAUUAUAUUAUUUAUUUCUUAAUAAUUGAAAAUCAAAAAGGAAGAAAGAAAGAAAAUUGUAAUUGAAAUCCACACCUCCCUUCCCCUGGUUAUUGCCAUCCCCCGAUAAACAUACUAUUCAAGACUAUUAAAGUAGAAAUUAUUUUGUCAAAAUACACCCCACCCCCUCUUACACAUCCUGUGCAUAUUCUGGCUGACAGAUAAAGUUGAUAAGUUCCCGAUGUGUAAUCACUGUCAGACUUUUUUUAUUUACUUCAUGUGACUUGUCUGCUUUUAACAGCCGAACCAGUCCCACCCAAUGCCAAACUACGGCAUAUAUAAACGCCCUGAUAUAUAUAUCAAAUUAAGCAGUUAAACCAAGGAUUUUUAUACUAAUCAUUGGUUUAACAUGUAAUUGAAAAAUAUCUAUAAUCUAGGAC